UGCCCAGCAACUUCCAUCCUUACCUCCGCGUGGCACCGGCUGGAAUCUACGAGCAACCUUAGGGAAGAUCGGGAACUUUGAUCGUAGGCUGACAGGGAAGG
rnacentral:ribozyme from 1 species